GAUGAACGCUAGCGGCAGGCUUAAUACAUGCAAGUCGUGGGGCAGCAGGUUUGUAGCAAUACAGAUGCUGGCGACCGGCAAACGGGUGCGGAACACGUACACAACCUUCCUUUAAGUGGGGCAUAGCCCAGGGAAACUUGGAUUAAUACCCCGUAACAUUAUGAAGUGGCAUCGCUUUAUAAUUAUAGCUCCGGCGCUUAAUGAUGGGUGUGCGUCUGAUUAGGUAGUUGGCGGAGUAACAGCCCACCAAGCCUACGAUCAGUAACUGGUGUGAGAGCACGACCAGUCACACGGGCACUGAGACACGGGCCCGACUCCUACGGGAGGCAGCAGUAAGGAAUAUUGGGCAAUGGACGCAAGUCUGACCCAGCCAUGCCGCGUGGAGGAUGAAGGUCCUCUGGAUUGUAAACUUCUUUUAUUUGGGAAGAAACUCCCGAUUUCCAUCGGGAUUGACGGUACCAGAUGAAUAAGCACCGGCUAACUCCGUGCCAGCACG
rnacentral:rRNA from 1 species